rnacentral:rRNA from 1 species
UACAGAGGGGGCAAGCGUUAUUCGGAAUUAUUGGGCGUAAAGGGCGCGUAGGCGGCUUGGCAAGUGGAUGGUGAAAUCCCUCGGCUUACCGAGGAACGGCCGUCCAAACUGCUUCGCUUGAGACCGGGAGAGGUGAGUGGAAUUCCCAGUGUAGCGGUGAAAUGCGUAGAUAUUGGGAGGAACACCAGUGGCGAAGGCGGCUCACUGGACCGGUACUGACGCUGAAGCGCGAAAGCGUGGGGAGCAAAGCGGG